rnacentral:rRNA from 1 species
UAGGGAAUAUUGGUAAUCUGGGAAACCGGGAACCAGCAACGCCGCGUGUGCGAUGAAGGCCUUCGGGUUGUAAAGCACUUUUUGAGGGGAUGAGGAAGGACAGUACCCUCAGAAUAAGCCUCGGCUAACUACGUGCCAGCAGCCGCGGUAAUACGUAGGAGGCGAGCGUUAUUCGGAUUUACUGGGCGUAAAGCGCGUGCAGGCGGCUCGAUAAGUUGGAUGUGAAAGCUCCCGGCUUAACUGGGAGAGGUCGUUCAAUACUGUCGGACUAGAGGAUGAGAGAGGGAGGUGGAAUUCCGAGUGUAGUGGUAAUACGUAGAGAUCGGGAGGAACACCAGCGGCGCAGGCGGCUCACUAGACAGUUUCUGACGCUAAGAUACGAAAGCGUGGGGAGCAAACA